rnacentral:lncRNA from 1 species
GCAAACCUCAUGAUGCAAAUUACUUAGAGAGUGUUUCUAUAAAUCAAACAACAACAAAAGUAUCGCAGUGAUCUCUAAACAGUGUACGUAAAUAACUAUGGCUUUAAUGAAGCACUCAGUGAAAUGAAAAAGAAAAGCAAAGAAUCCAUGGGAGGUCUUCCAGCAUCUCAACCAGUCCUCAUAGCUGGGGUCCUUCUGGGUUGGUAGCCAGAAAGAUCCAGUCUCUUCUUAGUCAUGAAACCAAUGCCUUACUCUCCCUUCAAAGGAGCGGUACCCUGUGGCUUUCCUUGGUGGCCACACUGAGAGCUCUUUGUGGACAGAGCAUGCAGACGGCCUUGCUUGAUAUCCCAGCAAGAGGUUUGAGCUCAAC